rnacentral:hammerhead_ribozyme from 1 species
AUCCAGCUGAAGAGUCCCAGACAGUACGAAAUGCGCGUCGUGGAU